rnacentral:lncRNA from 10 species
GCCAGGUUCAGCAUUCCAUGUCAGUGGUGAUCAUUUUACUGAGAAGGAAGCCAUGGGAUGGGCAGGUUCUUCUAAAGGUGAAUGGCUAUACAAGCUGUGAUACAACCAAACCACAGAAUGCCACUUAGAAAUAUAAAGGAACAGACUACUGAUACAUAAAACAACUUGGAUGAACCUCAGAGCAAUUAUCCUCAGUGGAAAAAGCCAACCUACAAUGAUUACCUAGUGAAUGAUUUCAUUUACG